UUCCUGGUGGUCCAGUGGUUAAGACUCCAUGCCUCUAAUGCAGGGGGCCUGGGUUCUAUCCCUGGUCAGGGAA
rnacentral:tRNA from 1 species